rnacentral:rRNA from 1 species
UGGGGAAUCUUGGACAAUGGGGCAACCCUGAUCCAGCCAUGCCGCGUGAGUGAUGAAGGCCUUAGGGUCGUAAAGCUCUUUCGCCUGUGAAGAUAAUGACGGUAGCAGGUAAAGAAACCCCGGCUAACUCCGUGCCAGCAGCCGCGGUAAUACGGAGGGGGUUAGCGUUGUUCGGAAUUACUGGGCGUAAAGCGCACGUAGGCGGACCAGAAAGUUGGGGGUGAAAUCCCGGGGGCUCAACCCCGGAACUGCCUCCAAAACUAUUGGUCUAGAGUUCGAGAGAGGUGAGUGGAAUUCCAAGUGUAGAGGUGAAAUUCGUAGAUAUUUGGAGGAACACCAGUGGCGAAGGCGGCUCACUGGCUCGAUACUGACGCUGAGGUGCGAAAGUGUGGGGAGCAAACAGGAUUAGAUACCCUGGUAGUCCACACCGUAAAACGAUGAAUGCCAGUCGUCGGGUAGCAUGC